UACGGAAGGCAGCAGUGGGGAAUAUUGCACAAUGGGCGCAAGCCUGAUGCAGCCAUGCCGCGUGUAUGAAAAAGGCCUUCGGGUUGUAAAGUACUUUCAGUCGUGAGGAAGGUGUUAAGGUUAAUAACCUUAGCAAUUGACGUUAGCGACAGAAGAAGCACCGGCUAACUCCGUGCCAGCAGCCGCGGUAAUACGGAGGGUGCGAGCGUUAAUCGGAAUUACUGGGCGUAAAGGGCACGCAGGCGGUUAAUUAAGUUGGAUGUGAAAUCCCCGGGCUUAACCUGGGAAUGGCAUUCAAGACUGGUUAGCUAGAGUCUUGUAGAGGGGGUAGAAUUCCAUGUGUAGCGGUGAAAUGCGUAGAGAUGUGGAGGAAUACCGGUGGCGAAGGCGGCCCCUGGACAAAGACUGACGCUCAUGUGCGAAAAGCGUGGGGAGCAAAAC
rnacentral:rRNA from 1 species